UACGGGGGGAGCAAGCGUUGUUCGGAUUUACUGGGCGUAAAGGGAGCGUAGGCGGAUAGUUUAGUCAGAGGUGAAAGCCCAGGGCUCAACCUUGGAAUUGCCUUUGAUACUGGCUAUCUUGAGUACGGAAGAGGUAUGUGGAACUCCGAGUGUAGAGGUGAAAUUCGUAGAUAUUCGGAAGAACACCAGUGGCGAAGGCGACAUACUGGUCCGUUACUGACGCUGAGGCUCGAAAGCGUGGGGAGCAAACAGG
rnacentral:rRNA from 1 species